GGAGCUUGGAUUGGCACUUCCAUGGCACAGGAAAAUGAACCUGUAGUUGGCACUAUUUGUAAGCUUUAUAUAAAUGAAGUUAGCAAAUCACAAAUGUAACCAGUCUAAAUCAGAAGCUGUAUGGGCUGCGGCAAGCCUGUGCAGAGUUGUUUCAUUUCUGUAAAAUGGUUGAAGCUACCUCAAUGUAUAUUGUACAGGAGUUGCGAGUCAGUCUGCAAGAGCUG